ACCAGUGGUCACCAGAUAAGCAGGGAGUAAUUUUUCCUUGUAACUAUACUGCUCUGGUUUGUGUCCUCUUUUAGGCAUAAUACCAAAAGACUUCCCUAAGGUGAGCUCAUUUCUGCUAGUGAACAAUCUAGCUUCCUCAGCGCAGACGUCUUUCUCCUUUCUGAG